rnacentral:rRNA from 1 species
GUGGGGAAUAUUGGACAAUGGGCGAAAGCCUGAUCCAGCCAUGCCGCGUGAGUGAUGAAGGCCUUAGGGUUGUAAAGCUCUUUUGUCCGGGAAGAUAAUGACUGUACCGGAAGAAUAAGCCCCGGCUAACUUCGUGCCAGCAGCCGCGGUAAUACGAAGGGGGCUAGCGUUGCUCGGAAUCACUGGGCGUAAAGGGCGCGUAGGUGGACUUUUAAGUCGGAGGUGAAAGCCCAGGGCUCAACCCUGGAAUUUCCUUCGAUACUGGGAGUCUUGAGUUCGGAAGAGGUUGGUGGAACUGCGAGUGUAGAGGUGAAAUUCGUAGAUAUUCGCAAGAACACCGGUGGCGAAGGCGGCCAACUGGUCCGAAACUGACGCUGAGGCGCGAAAGCGUGGGGAGCAAACAGGAUUAGAUACCCUUGUAGUCC